rnacentral:rRNA from 1 species
GAUGAACGCUAGCGGCAGGCCUAAUACAUGCAAGUCGAACGGUGUAGCAAUACACAGUGGCGCACGGGUGCGUAACACGUAUGCAACCUACCUUACAUUGGGGGAUAGCCUUUCGAACGGGAGAUUAAUACCGCAUAAGACAGUAACUAGGCAUCUAGUAGCUGUUAAAGAUUUAUCGAUGUAAGCUGGGCAUGCGUCCAAUUAGUUAGUUGGCGAGGUAAUGGCUCACCAAGACGAUGAUUGGUAGGGGAACUGAGAGGUCAAUCCCCCACACUGGCACUGAGAUACGGGCCAGACUCCUACGGGAGGCAGCAGUAGGGAAUAUUGGGCAAUGGGCGCAAGCCUGACCCAGCCAUGCCGCGUGCAGGAAGGAGGCGUUAUGCGUUGUAAACUGCUUUUAUACAGGAAGAAACGACCCUUGCGAGGGGCAUUGACGGUACUGUAUGAAUAAGCACCGGCUAACUCCGUGCCAGCCGCCGCCGUAAUAC